GACGAACGCUGGCGGCGUGCUUAACACAUGCAAGUCGAACGAGUGGCGGACGGGUGAGUAAUGUCUGGGAAACUGCCUGAUGGAGGGGGCUAACUACUGGAAACGGUAGCUAAUACCGCAUUCCCUCGGAUGUGCCCAGAUGGGAUUAGCUAGUAGGUGGGGUAAAGGGUCACCUAGGCGACGAUCCCUAGCUGGUCUGAGAGGAUGACCAGCCACACUGGAACUGAGACACGGUCCAGACUCCGACGGGAGGCAGCAGUGGGGAAGAUUGCACAAUGGGCGCAAGCCUGAUGCAGCCAUGCCGCGUGUAUGAAGAAGGCCUUAGGGUUGUAAAGUACUUUCAGCGGGGAGGCGUGACCCGCAGAAGAAGCACCGGCUAACUCCGUGCCAGCAGCCGCGGUAAUUC
rnacentral:rRNA from 1 species